GGACCAGCUGUGAUGCCCUUAGAUGUUCUGGGCCUCACGCGCGCUACACUGACAGAGACAACGAGUUCAUCACCUUGUCCGAAAGGU
rnacentral:rRNA from 1 species